UAGACUUCACGCGCCCCAGGUGUUCGGGAAGCCGGUCCAAGUCCGGCGCUGCCCCCGCAACGGUAGGCCAGAAAACCCCUCCAGCAAGCCACUGUGCCCCCGGGCAUGGGAAGGCGGACGGGAGGCGAGGUGCCCCGCGCACCCCGCCGCUGGCGAGUCCGGAGACCGGCCUGGUGCUUGGCCACCCC
rnacentral:ncRNA from 2 species